rnacentral:rRNA from 1 species
CCUACGGUGGGCAGCAGUGAGGAAUAUUGGUCAAUGGGCGCGAGCCUGAACCAGCCAAGCCGCGUGAGGGAAGACGGUCCUAUGGAUUGUAAACCUCUUUUGUCGGGGAACAAAGGCGGAGACGCGUCUCCGGAUGAGUGUACCCGAAGAAAAAGCAUCGGCUAACUCCGUGCCAGCAGCCGCGGUAAUACGGAGGAUGCGAGCGUUAUCCGGAUUUAUUGGGUUUAAAGGGUGCGCAGGCGGGAGGUUAAGUCAGCGGUAAAAUGUCGGGGCUCAACCCCGGCCGGCCGUUGAAACUGGUUUUCUAGAGUUGGAGAGAGGUAUGCGGAAUUCGUGGUGUAGCGGUGAAAUGCAUAGAUAUCACGAAGAACUCCGAUUGCGAAGGCAGCAUACCGGCUCCAUACUGACGCUGAGGUACGAAAGCGUGGGGAUCGAACAGGAUUAGAUACCCUGGUAGUC